rnacentral:rRNA from 1 species
UACGGGAGGCAGCAGUGAGGAAUCUUUCACAAUGGGCGAAAGCCUGAUGGAGCAACGCCGCGUGCAGGAUGACGGCCUUCUGGUUGGAAACCGCUUUUAUUACCGAGAAAUAUGAUGGUAAGUUAUGAAUAAGGACCGGCUAACUACGUGCCAGCCCCCGCGGU